UGCAACUCGACUCCAUGAAGCUGGAUUCGCUAGUAAUCGCGCAUCAGCCAUGGCGCGGUGAAUACGUUCCCGGGCCUUGUACACACCGCCCGUCAAGCCAUGGGAGUCGGGAGUGCCUGAAGUUCGUGGCCGUAUAGGAGCGACCUAGGGCAAGACUGAUGACUGGGGCUAAGUCGUAACAAGGUAGC
rnacentral:rRNA from 1 species